rnacentral:rRNA from 1 species
GACGAACGCUGGCGGCGUGCUUAACACAUGCAAGUCGAGCGGUAAGGCCCUUUCGGGGGUACACGAGCGGCGAACGGGUGAGUAACACGUGGGUGACCUGCCCUUAGCUCUGGGAUAAGCCUGGGAAACUGGGUCUAAUACCGGAUAUGACUCCAUGACGCAUGUUGUGGGGUGGAAAGCCUUGUGCGGCUAGGGAUGGGCCCGCGGCCUAUCAGCUUGUUGGUGGGGUGAUGGCCUACCAAGGCGACGACGGGUAGCCGGCCUGAGAGGGCGACCGGCCACACUGGGACUGAGACACGGCCCAGACUCCGUACGGGAGGCAGCAGGUGGGGAAUCUUGCGCAAGUGGGACGAAAGCCUGACGCAGCGACGCCGCGU